GACCCACUCUUGGGUAAGUCGUUAUUACCUGUUCAUUUAUGGUUUCUUCUUCGAAAUUCUUCUUAUUUAAUCAUGAACUCCCAUUUUGUAUAUUUCAUUAAAUAUUGUAGCUUUUAAAUAGUUAUUUGUUUCUCAAAAGAAUUUUACUUUUUUUCUAUUUUAAACAAAAUAUAAGAUGACAUUGCUGGAAAGCAUGGAAAAAUUAGGUGUCUUGAGGUUAUGGCUUUAACUUUUCUGGUCAUAGUUAAGCGAUAUGUUGAAGCAGGCUCAAUCUAGUUAGUUAAUGAAUCAUCGGGAGUAUUGAUUUUGUUGAAAGAUGUAUUCUGUCACAUCUAUUAAUGGUUAUGAAAUUUCAAUAUGUAAUGCUCAUACCUAAUUAAAAAGAAAAAUGAGUGUGAUACUUCAACACUUUUGGCUUGUGUUUGUAACACAAAGGGAUAUGGUAGGAAUUAAGUAAAUAUAUCUCCAAUAUAUCGACUUCUAUUUUAUACUUCCAUGAAAUUUUUUGCCUCUAACUUGUUGUCUAUGUACAGUGGCACGCGGAUUAAG
rnacentral:misc_RNA from 1 species